UCUACGGGAGGCAGCAGUGGGGAAUAUUGGGCAAUGGGCGCAAGCCUGACCCAGCAAUGCCGCGUGAAGGAAGAAGGCUUUCGGGUUGUACACUUCUGUGACAGGGGAAGAGCAGAAGACGGUAACCUGAAAACAAGCCACGGCUAACUACGUGCCAGCAGGCGCGGUAAUACGUAGGUGGCAAGCGUUGGCCGGGUUGAAUGGGUGUAAAGGGCGUGUAGCCGGGAAGGCAAGUACGAUGUGAAAUCUGGAGGCUCAACCUCCGAAUUGCAUUUGAAACUGUUUUUCUUGAGUACUGGAGAGGCAGACGGAAUUCCUGGUGUAGCGGUGAAAUGCGUAGAUAUAAGGAGGAACACCAGUGGCGAAGGCGGUCUGCUGGACAGCAACUGACGGUGAGGCGCGAAAGCGUGGGGAGCAAACAGGAUUAGAUACCCUAGUAGUC
rnacentral:rRNA from 1 species